rnacentral:rRNA from 1 species
GGGUUGUGAGGUUAAGCGACUAAGCGUACACGGUGGAUGCCCUGGCAGUCAGAGGCGAUGAAGGACGUGCUAAUCUGCGAUAAGCGUCGGUAAGGUGAUAUGAACCGUUAUAACCGGCGAUUUCCGAAUGGGGAAACCCAGUGUGUUUCGACACACUAUCAUUAACUGAAUCCAUAGGUUAAUGAGGCGAACCGGGGGAACUGAAACAUCUAAGUACCCCGAGGAAAAGAAAUCAACCGAGAUUCCCCCAGUAGCGGCGAGCGAACGGGGAGCAGCCCAGAGCCUGAAUCAGUGUGUGUGUUAGUGGAAGCGUCUGGAAAGGCGCGCGAUACAGGGUGACAGCCCCGUACACAAAAAUGCACAUGCUGUGAGCUCGAUGAGUAGGGCGGGACACGUGGUAUCCUGUCUGAAUAUGGGGGGACCAUCCUCCAAGGCUAAAUACUCCUGACUGACCGAUAGUGAACCAGUACCGUGAGGGAAAGGCGAAAAGAACCCCGGCGAGGGGAGUGAAAAAGAACCUGAAACCGUGUACGUACAAGCAGUGGGAGCACGCUUAGGCGUGUGACUGCGUACCUUUUGUAUAAUGGGUCAGCGACUUAUAUUCUGUAGCAAGGUUAACCGAAUAGGGGAGCCGAAGGGAAACCGAGUCUUAACUGGGCGUUAAGUUGCAGGGUAUAGACCCGAAACCCGGUGAUCUAGCCAUGGGCAGGUUGAAGGUUGGGUAACACUAACUGGAGGACCGAACCGACUAAUGUUGAAAAAUUAGCGGAUGACUUGUGGCUGGGGGUGAAAGGCCAAUCAAACCGGGAGAUAGCUGGUUCUCCCCGAAAGCUAUUUAGGUAGCGCCUCGUGAAUUCAUCUCCGGGGGUAGAGCACUGUUUCGGCAAGGGGGUCAUCCCGACUUACCAACCCGAUGCAAACUGCGAAUACCGGAGAAUGUUAUCACGGGAGACACACGGCGGGUGCUAACGUCCGUCGUGAAGAGGGAAACAACCCAGACCGCCAGCUAAGGUCCCAAAGUCAUGGUUAAGUGGGAAACGAUGUGGGAAGGCCCAGACAGCCAGGAUGUUGGCUUAGAAGCAGCCAUCAUUUAAAGAAAGCGUAAUAGCUCACUGGUCGAGUCGGCCUGCGCGGAAGAUGUAACGGGGCUAAACCAUGCACCGAAGCUGCGGCAGCGACGCUGAUGCGUUGUUGGGUAGGGGAGCGUUCUGUAAGCCUGUGAAGGUGUGCUGUGAGGCAUGCUGGAGGUAUCAGAAGUGCGAAUGCUGACAUAAGUAACGAUAAAGCGGGUGAAAAGCCCGCUCGCCGGAAGACCAAGGGUUCCUGUCCAACGUUAAUCGGGGCAGGGUGAGUCGACCCCUAAGGCGAGGCCGAAAGGCGUAGUCGAUGGGAAACAGGUUAAUAUUCCUGUACUUGGUGUUACUGCGAAGGGGGGACGGAGAAGGCUAUGUUGGCCGGGCGACGGUUGUCCCGGUUUAAGCGUGUAGGCUGGUUUUCCAGGCAAAUCCGGAAAAUCAAGGCUGAGGCGUGAUGACGAGGCACUACGGUGCUGAAGCAACAAAUGCCCUGCUUCCAGGAAAAGCCUCUAAGCAUCAGGUAACAUCAAAUCGUACCCCAAACCGACACAGGUGGUCAGGUAGAGAAUACCAAGGCGCUUGAGAGAACUCGGGUGAAGGAACUAGGCAAAAUGGUGCCGUAACUUCGGGAGAAGGCACGCUGAUAUGUAGGUGAAGUCCCUCGCGGAUGGAGCUGAAAUCAGUCGAAGAUACCAGCUGGCUGCAACUGUUUAUUAAAAACACAGCACUGUGCAAACACGAAAGUGGACGUAUACGGUGUGACGCCUGCCCGGUGCCGGAAGGUUAAUUGAUGGGGUUAGCGCAAGCGAAGCUCUUGAUCGAAGCCCCGGUAAACGGCGGCCGUAACUAUAACGGUCCUAAGGUAGCGAAAUUCCUUGUCGGGUAAGUUCCGACCUGCACGAAUGGCGUAAUGAUGGCCAGGCUGUCUCCACCCGAGACUCAGUGAAAUUGAACUCGCUGUGAAGAUGCAGUGUACCCGCGGCAAGACGGAAAGACCCCGUGAACCUUUACUAUAGCUUGACACUGAACAUUGAGCCUUGAUGUGUAGGAUAGGUGGGAGGCUUUGAAGUGUGGACGCCAGUCUGCAUGGAGCCGACCUUGAAAUACCACCCUUUAAUGUUUGAUGUUCUAACGUUGACCCGUGAUCCGGGUUGCGGACAGUGUCUGGUGGGUAGUUUGACUGGGGCGGUCUCCUCCUAAAGAGUAACGGAGGAGCACGAAGGUUGGCUAAUCCUGGUCGGACAUCAGGAGGUUAGUGCAAUGGCAUAAGCCAGCUUGACUGCGAGCGUGACGGCGCGAGCAGGUGCGAAAGCAGGUCAUAGUGAUCCGGUGGUUCUGAAUGGAAGGGCCAUCGCUCAACGGAUAAAAGGUACUCCGGGGAUAACAGGCUGAUACCGCCCAAGAGUUCAUAUCGACGGCGGUGUUUGGCACCUCGAUGUCGGCUCAUCACAUCCUGGGGCUGAAGUAGGUCCCAAGGGUAUGGCUGUUCGCCAUUUAAAGUGGUACGCGAGCUGGGUUUAGAACGUCGUGAGACAGUUCGGUCCCUAUCUGCCGUGGGCGCUGGAGAACUGAGGGGGGCUGCUCCUAGUACGAGAGGACCGGAGUGGACGCAUCACUGGUGUUCGGGUUGUCAUGCCAAUGGCACUGCCCGGUAGCUAAAUGCGGAAGAGAUAAGUGCUGAAAGCAUCUAAGCACGAAACUUGCCCCGAGAUGAGUUCUCCCUGACUCCUUGAGAGUCCUGAAGGAACGUUGAAGACGACGACGUUGAUAGGCCGGGUGUGUAAGCGCAGCGAUGCGUUGAGCUAACCGGUACUAAUGAACCGUGAGGCUUAACCUUACAACGCCGAAGGUGUUU